rnacentral:misc_RNA from 1 species
GGUGCAGAUUGGGUUGGAUCUCUUGGUGAUAGAAGAUCAACAUCAGGUUACUAUACAUUUUUAGGUGGUAAUUUAGUCACCUAAAGAAGCAAGAAGUAAAAUGUGAUGGCUAGAUCCAAUGCAGAGGUUGAAUUCAGAGCAAUGGCUCAAGAUAUCUAUGAUUUAUUAUGGUUACGAAAGUUGAUGGCGGAAUUGAAACUGCUUGAAGCUAGUGGUUUUCCUUGUUCUGCAAUAACGAAGUUGCCAUCAAUAUAGUUCAUAAUCCAGCUCAGUAUGAUCG